AGUGAACGCUGGCGGUAGGCCUAACACAUGCAAGUCGAACGGCAGCACAGUAAGAGCUUGCUCUUACGGGUGGCGAGUGGCGGACGGGUGAGGAAUACAUCGGAAUCUACUUUUUCGUGGGGGAUAACGUAGGGAAACUUACGCUAAUACCGCAUACGACCUACGGGUGAAAGCAGGGGAUCUUCGGACCUUGCGCGAUUGAAUGAGCCGAUGUCGGAUUAGCUAGUUGGCGGGGUAAAGGCCCACCAAGGCGACGAUCCGUAGCUGGUCUGAGAGGAUGAUCAGCCACACUGGAACUGAGACACGGGCCAGACUCCUACGGGAGGCAGCAGUGGGGAAUAUUGGACAAUGGGCGCAAGCCUGAUCCAGCCAUACCGCGUGGGUGAAGAAGGCCUGCGGGUUGUAAAGCCCUUUUGUUGGGAAAGAAAAGCAGCAGGUUAAUACCCCGCUGUUCUGACGGUACCCAAAGAAUAAGCACCGGCUAACUUCGU
rnacentral:rRNA from 1 species